UGGGGAGUAUUGCACAAUGGGGAGGACCUUGAUGCAGCGACGCCGCGUGAGUGAAGAAGUAAUUCGUUAUGUAAAGCUCUAUCAGCAGGGAAGAAGAAAUGACGGUACCUGAGUAAGAAGCCCCGCGUAACAUACGUGCCAGCAGCCGCGGUAAUACGUAGGGGCGAAGCGUUAUCCGGAUUUACUGGGUGUAAAGGGAGCGUAGACGGCGAUGCAAGCCAGAUGUGAAAGCCCGCGGCUCAACUGCGGGACUGCAUUUGGAACUGUAUGGCUGGAGUGCAGGAGAGGCAGGCGGAAUUCCUAGUGUAGCGGUGAAAUGCGUAGAUAUUAGGAGGAACACCAGUGGCGAAGGCGGCCUGCUGGACUGUAACUGACGUUGAGGCUCGAAAGCGUGGGGAGCAAACAGGAUUAGAUACCC
rnacentral:rRNA from 1 species